rnacentral:rRNA from 1 species
AUUGAACGCUGGCGGCAUGCCUUACACAUGCAAGUCGAACGGCAGCACGGGAGCUUGCUCCUGGUGGCGAGUGGCGAACGGGUGAGUAAUACAUCGGAACGUACCCUGAAGUGGGGGAUAACGUAGCGAAAGUUACGCUAAUACCGCAUAUUCUGUGAGCAGGAAAGAGGGGGGUCGCAAGACCUCUUGCUUUAGGAGCGGCCGAUGUCGGAUUAGCUAGUUGGUGAGGUAAAGGCUCACCAAGGCGACGAUCCGUAGCGGGUCUGAGAGGAUGAUCCGCCACACUGGGACUGAGACACGGCCCAGACUCCUGCGGGAGGCAGCAGUGGGGAAUUUUGGACAAUGGGCGCAAGCCUGAUCCAGCCAUGCCGCGUGAGUGAAGAAGGCC